rnacentral:rRNA from 1 species
GAUGAACGCUGGCGGCGUGCUUAACACAUGCAAGUCGAACGGAAAGGCUCCUGCUUGCAGGGGUACUCGAGUGGCGAACGGGUGAGUAACACGUGGGUGAACUGCCCUGCACUUCGGGAUAAGCCUGGGAAACUGGGUCUAAUACCGGAUAGGACGUUGUUUUGGAUGCCAUUGUGGAAAGUUUUUCGGUGUGGGAUAAGCUCGCGGCCUAUCAGCUUGUUGGUGGGGUAAUGGCCUACCAAGGCGUCGACGGGUAGCCGGCCUGAGAGGGUGUACGGCCACAUUGGGACUGAGAUACGGCCCAGCCUCCUACGGGAGGCAGCAGUGGGGAGUAUUGCACAAUGGGCGCAAGCCUGAUGCAGCGACGCCGCGUGGGGGAUGACGGCCUUCGGGUUGUAAACUCCUUUCGCUAGGGACGAAGCGCAAGUGACGGUACCUGGAGAAGAAGCACCGGCUAACUACGUG